rnacentral:rRNA from 1 species
UACGUAGGGGGCAAGCGUUGUCCGGACUUAUUGGGCGUAAAGAGCGUGUAGGCGGCCAGGUAGGUCUGCUGUGAAAACUCGAGGCUUAACCUCGAGCUGUCGGCGGAAACCAUCUGGCUAGAGUCCGGAAGAGGAGAAUGGAAUUCCCGGUGUAGCGGUGAAAUGCGCAGAUAUCGGGAAGAACACCAAUGGCGAAGGCAGCUCGCUGGGACGUGACUGACGCUGAGACGCGAAAGCGUGGGGAGCAAACAGG